GACAGCAGCAGCCGCGGUAAUACGUAGGUGGCAAGCGUUGUCCGAAUUUACUGGGCGUAAAGAGCAUUAAGGCGGUUUUUUAAGUGAGAGGUGAAAGGUUCAGGGCUCAACCCGAACACUGCCCCUCAUACUGGAAGACUUGAGUACGGGAGAGGCGAGUGGAAUUUCUGGUGUAGCGGUGAAAUGCGUAGAUAUCAGAAGGAACACCCAUGGCGAAGGCAGCUCGCUGGCCUGUAACUGACGCUGUAGUGCGAAAGCGUGGGGAGCAAACAGGAUUAGAUACCCCCGUAGUCCCUGUCUCUUAUA
rnacentral:rRNA from 1 species